rnacentral:rRNA from 1 species
UACGGAGGGGGCUAGCGUUGUCCGAAGUUAUUGGGCGUAAAGCGCGCGUAGGCGGGUUGGUAAGUCCGCUGUGAAAGCCCGGAGCUCAACUCCGGAGGGUCGGUGGAUACUGCCAGUCUUGAAGGUGCUAGGGGGAGAUGGAAUUACCGGUGUAGCGGUGAAAUGCGUAGAUAUCGGUAGGAACACCAGUGGCGAAGGCGGUCUCCUGGGGCAUUCUUGACGCUGAGGCGCGAAAGCUGGGGGAGCGAACGGG